GCUCUGAGGGCCACACUGAGGGCUCAGAGGAUGUGGAGGCGCCGCCAGGCCUGGUGCCGUCAUGCUGCACAUGCAGCCUGCGUGGCCCCACUGGACAUCCGGCCCCAGCGAGCCUGGCUCUGCAGGUGUUUGGGGGCCUGGCAGCAGUUUGUGCGAAGAGGGGCCCUGCACCGGGACCACCUGGCUGACCACCGGGCAGGGACCCUGAAGAUAUGCCUGCAACAGUGGGUGCGGAUGAAGCAGCUCCGGGCCUCCAAUAGGGCAAAGGAGACCUAGCUGUCCCUCCCCUGGCAGAGGGGAGGGAAUGUGGCCACCUGCAGCUCAGCUCCUGGGGCAGCCACAGCCCAGGACCAGCGGCUGCCCUGGGAGCAAGGCCUCCGGGCACUGCUGCUCUGGAGGACGCGGAUGUCCCAGCACCCGCAGGCUG